CCCCACUAUGCCAAGUCGUAAAAAAUUAACUCACACAAUAAACGCCCGGGUAUUACGAGCUUCAGCUUAAAACCCAAAGGACUUGACGGUGUCCCACCCCACUAGAGGAGCCUGUUCUAUAAUCGAUACUCCACGCUAUACCCAACCAUUUUUUGCCUAUCAGCCUGUAUACCUCCGUCGCAAACUUACCAUAUGAAUGAAUUAUAGUAAGUCAAAUAACUCAAACGCUACAACGUCAGGUCAAGGUGCCGCUUAUAAAAUGGAAAGUAAUGGGCUACAAUUUCUAAGCUAGAACAAACGAAUUACUACAUGAAAUAUAGUCAUGAAGGCGGAUUUAGCAGUAAAUAGGGAAUAGAAAACCCUAUUAAAUUCGGCUCUGGGACGUGUACACACC
rnacentral:rRNA from 1 species